UGCCUUUAUGUGUUGCCCUUUCAUUCUUUCCUUGGUGAUCGGGGUGUCAAAUAAGGCAUACAGUGACACUUGCGGUUGUCUGUGCAAUGAGUUUCAACGUGUGACUCCUCCAUACAAACGGCUGCAAGGACACGC